GCUGGGCGCGGUGGCGUGCGCCUGUAGUCCCAGCUACUCGGGAAGCUGAGGCAGGAGGAUCGCUUGAGCCCAGGAAUUCAAAUCUAGCCUGGUCAACAUAGCAAGACCCCUGCCUCUA
rnacentral:sRNA from 1 species